AUAAAGAAUUGGAUACAACUGAGCAACUUUCACUUUCAGUUUCACCAGGGAAAACACACCCUCUUCCCUGAUUGGUCGGUCCUGGGUGUAACCAAUCAGGCACAUGCUCGCACCAUCCAAUAUUUGCAUAGGGCCUAACCUGGGGAAACACACACCCCUUGCUCGAGUACUCCUGUGUAACCAAUCAGAGGCAUGUAAGUACUGUCACCUAUUUUGCAUAGGGCAUAACCAAUCAGGCUCCAGGGUGUGGAGACCAAAGGUAUAAAGAAAGAAAGCCAGAAUAACUUCGGUUUCGUGCGAGGUUACAGCUGUUCUGAGUAAUAAGGGUUAGUUUCCACUGGAGCCGCCCUUUGGGCUGUUCGUGAUGUGAGCCGCCAGUGGAGAUCCCUUUGAUGUGAGCUGUCACCGGAGCUGUCCAUAGCUUGAGUUGUCACUAACUGGCACUUGUCUUUCCCUUAGGUCGAGCUGUUAGUAACUGGCACUGUUCCUAGGUCAUACUGCCCCUAAGGCGGAUUGUUUAUCACUGGCACUACCUGAGUACCCGGGAAGAAAUUAUAACUGCUGUUUCCACUGUCAAACAACAGCACUUCUCAAGCUACUUCCUGUGUAUAAACUCUGUAGUAUUGCUACUAGGGACUGUAGAGUAUAGAAUGAUUUUUUUUUUAUGUUGCAUGAGAAACGUGUGUGUUUUAAAGUACUGACCUUAAAAAGGAGGUUGAGGUUCCUUCUCCACGGCCAGCUCUUUGGAGCGUGGAAGCCUGCUGAGCCCACUUUCCUGCCCGGGCUUUCAAGAACUCUUCAAGAGGACGCCCUGUGAGCGAUACAAGUCCUAUGUAAGGGCUUUAUUGGUUUUCCACAUACUCCGAGGAAUAUUGGCCUCUCUCUCUCUCCCUGGUUUCUCUAUACUCUUUUUCUCAAGACCAACCAACUCCAGGACAGAGGCCUUUUGGCAUUCGACUGCUUUACAUACAACACUCCAUUCAAGCCGGCCCCUAAAUUAAGAGCUUACCUCCUUAAAAAUCACCCGGCGACAACCUCUGUCAAGCAUCCAAGAAGACACUGAAUGACCUGGACACUCUUCAACCUACAGCUAUUCCUGACUCAACUACUACAAGACCUCUGGACCAGCACCCUGACAGGAAGCUCCUUCGAAGACCUGGCCAUGCUGGUGUCUCAACUGUGGCUUCAGGGAACCUUCUACAACCUGACUCCAGACGAAAUUGGUUUCUUUACUCUCAUUCUCUACAUCCUAAUGAACACUUUUCCUCCUCAGAUUCAAGCAACCACCAACUUGGGACCUUCUGCCCCACACCCUGACUGGCCUCUUCCUGUCUCUAACUAUAACUGCACUCUUAAUCUUAGUCCUUGCUAUAGGCCUAAUAACUAUCUCCCCUCAGGACUGGUCACUUAUCCUUUGUCUUUCCAUUGGUAUCACCUAGGUUGUUAGCUGUGUUCUACUCCUAGGGUACUAUUUCCUCUGCACUGCCUAACUAACAGAACCAUGACUCCUCUGUUCCUUAUCCUUGCUGUGCUCCCCAGCCUUCUGGCUAGUCCCUGCCCCUGCUCAGACACUUAUUCCUAUGUUCAUUCCUCAUGUUAUAAUACGGCUCCAAGACCAUGCACCAUGAACCUGGGGGAGGGGGGAAAGUCCAAACCCCUACUCACUGUUAAACUACAAAAGAGAGGAAGUUUCAUGAGCACCUGCCAUAAGCCAAAUGGAAAAAAAUACGUUUCUAUCCCAUUACCCACUGGGGGUACUCAGACGGGGGUGGGAUACUAGAUUAAAAGCAGAAAAAAAAAAGUUAUAAAGAACUUAAUUUCCCAGUUGCAGGCGACCCCUAAGCCUUAUAAACACCUAGACCUCCUUUCCCAAUUACGACCUCACAUAAAACCUCACUCUGAUAACCAACACCUUACCUGCCUUCUCAACUCUUCUAAUUCUUCCAGUACACACGACACACAUCCCAGUGUUGGAUAUGCAGGUCACGGUCUCCCUCACCAUACAUAGCAAUUCCCUUACCCUCAACCUGGCUGUCACAGGACAACUAUACCUUCCCUUCCCAACAAAAAACCACACAACUUAUUGGGCCAGUGUCUGACAAUGUCCUACUCUCAGUCUCUUCAAACCCAACCUGUAUCAACUACUCUAGUCCCAACUACACUGGUCUUAACAAACUCCGCUCCUUCCUUCUGUUCCACUUGGGUUCUCUGGAACAGUACAAAUAAUUGCACCAACCUGGAAUCUUCAUUCUCUUUGGGACCUAUGCAUAUUCAUGUCUCCCUCUUGACACCCCCUGGACCUUGAUCUUGGUCUUCCUGACCCCAGGUCUAACAUUCCUCAAAGAAGAGGUAGAACAAAUAGUCUACCCCCAAGGGAAAAUUUCCCACAGAAAAAGACGAACUGUCAUAGCCCCCUUCCUGAUUGGUACUGGCAUAGCAGCAGCCCUAGGCACCGGGAUUGGGGGCAUCUCAACCUCAGCCCAUUUUU